rnacentral:rRNA from 1 species
AGAGUGAACGCUGGCGGUAGGCCUAACACAUGCAAGUCGAACGGCAGCACAGUGGUAGCAAUACCAUGGGUGGCGAGUGGCGGACGGGUGAGGAAUACAUCGGAAUCUACCUUUUGGUGGGGGAUAACGUAGGGAAACUUACGCUAAUACCGCAUACGCCCUUCGGGGGAAAGCCGGGGACCUUCGGGCCUGGCGCUGAUAGAUGAGCCGAUGUCGGAUUAGCUAGUGUGAGUAUGGCUCACAAGCGACGAUCCGUAGCUGGUCUGAGAGGAUGAUCAGCCACACUGGAACUGAAGACACGGUCCAGACUCCGUACGGGAGCAGCAGGUGGGAAUAGUGGACAAGUGGGCGCAAGCCUGAC